ACAAUCACUUAGUCGUAUCGGUCGGCUUCUUCCGAGCAGCUUUGACAUGCUUAUGCUCAUUCAUGUCACCACCAUCAUCUAGUAUCUCUCUCACAGCAUCAGGGGACACAUAGUUCCAAUCAUAACUUGUAUGAGUAGUUGCCGCAAAUGCUCGGAAUUUGUCGAAUCCUUCGUUGAUUGCCAACUUCAGUUCACUAUGGUGCUCUUCGCAUCGCAUAUGGU
rnacentral:lncRNA from 1 species